rnacentral:rRNA from 1 species
UUGCUCCUUUGCGUUAGCGGCGGACGGGUGAGUACACGUGGGCACCUACCUUAUAGUUUGGGAUAACUCCGGGAAACCGGGGCUAAUACCGAAUAAUCUGUUCCACCUCAUGGUGGAACACUGAAAGACGGUUUCGGCUGUCGCUAUAGGAUGGGCCCGCGGCGCAUUAGCUAGUUGGUGAGGUAACGGCUCACCAAGGCGACGAUGCGUAGCCGACCUGAGAGGGUGAUCGGCCACACUGGGACUGAGACACGGCCCAGACUCCUACGGGAGGCAGCAGUAGGGAAUCUUCCACAAUGGGCGAAAGCCUGAUGGAGCAACGCCGCGUGAGUGAAGAAGGUUUUCGGAUCGUAAAACUCUGUUGUAAGGGAAGAACAAGUACAGUAGUAACUGGCUGUACCUUGACGGUACCUUAUUAGAAAGCCA